rnacentral:lncRNA from 1 species
GUUAGUCCACGAGGUGCGCAGAAGGGACAAGGGCUACUAGGCCAGUCGCGCUCUCCGAGUUCUGGUGUCCUGUUUGCUCUGAGCUUUCCCUGGAGAACUUCAGAGACGUCAGGUGGUGACGGCGGAAGCACUGAAAAUGCGCAGCCUAGAGGUCGCCCCAACCGCGUGCCCUGGCUCUCCGCCCCACUGCCCGCAGCCUGUCAUCGGGCUCCGGAACGCAGCGCCCACGCCGGGCUGUCGCGAUCGGGACCCGGCCCGCGGCCCCGCAGCCCCGGGCCGACCCCGCGCGCCGCCGGCGGCCGCCAGUUCGGCGCGGAGGUGGGCUCGCUGCGGCGGCGCGCGAAAGGUCACCGCGGUGGCAUUCCUGUCCGCGCGCUGUUUACGUGACUUAAUGUACUUCGUCCGCCGCGGCUUGUUAUCUAGGCCACCCAAUGACCGACGAAAGAUUUUCCCUCCCUGCUUCUCCCAAGGCCGCUUUAAACCAAAUAAAUUUAGCUAUUAA